rnacentral:rRNA from 1 species
GAUGAACGCUGGCGGCGUGCCUAAUACAUGCAAGUCGAGCGAACGGACGAGAAGCUUGCUUCUCUGAUGUUAGCGGCGGACGGGUGAGUAACACGUGGAUAACCUACCUAUAAGACUGGGAUAACUUCGGGAAACCGGAGCUAAUACCGGAUAAUAUUUUGAACCGCAUGGUUCAAAAGUGAAAGACGGUCUUGCUGUCACUUAUAGAUGGAUCCGCGCUGCAUUAGCUAGUUGGUAAGGUAACGGCUUACCAAGGCAACGAUGCAUAGCCGACCUGAGAGGGUGAGCGGCCACACUGGAACGGAGACAGGGUCCAGAGUCCUACGGGAGGCAGCAGUAGGGAAUCUGCCGCAAGGGGCGAAAGCCUGACGGAGCAACGCCGCGGGAGUGAUGAAGGUCUUCGGAUCGUAAAACUCUGUUAUUAGGGAAGAACAUAUGUGUAAGUAACUGUGCACAUCUUGACGGUACCUAAUCAGAAAGCCACGGCUAACUACGUG